GACGAACCGAGCGAACGUUGUUCGGAAUCACUGGGCUUAAAGGGCGCGUAGGCGGGUGCUCAAGUCUGUGGUGAAAUCCUCCGGCUCAACCGGAGAACUGCCAUGGAUACUGGGUGCCUCGAGGGUGGUAGGGGUAUGCGGAACUAUCGGUGGAGCGGCGAAAUGCGUUGAUAUCGAUAGGAACUCCGGUGGCGAAGGCGGCAUACUGGACCACUUCUGACGCUGAGGCGCGAAAGCCAGGGGAGCAAACGGG
rnacentral:rRNA from 1 species